rnacentral:rRNA from 1 species
UACAGAGGGGGCGAGCGUUGUUCGGAAUUACUGGGCGUAAAGGGCUCGUAGGCGGUUCGUCACGUCGGGAGUGAAAACUCGGGGCUUAACCCCGAGCCUGCUUCCGAUACGGGCAGACUAGAGGUAGGCAGGGGAGAGCGGAACUCCUGGUGUAGCGGUGGAAUGCGCAGAUAUCAGGAAGAACACCGGUGGCGAAGGCGGCUCUCUGGGACGGUACUGACGCUGAGACGCGAAAGCGUGGGGAGCGAACAGG